rnacentral:rRNA from 1 species
CAGCAAUGCCGCGUGAGUGAAGAAGGCCUUCGGGUUGUAAAGCUCUUUUGUCAGGGAAGAAACGGUAGAGGCUAAUAUCCUUUGCUAAUGACGGUACCUGAAGAAUAAGCACCGGCUAACUACGUGCCAGCAGCCGCGGUAAUACGUAGGUGGCAAGCGUUGUCCGGAUUUAUUGGGCGUAAAGCGAGCGCAGGCGGAAGAAUAAGUCUGAUGUGAAAGCCCUCGGCUUAACCGAGGAACUGCAUCGGAAACUGUUUUUCUUGAGUGCAGAAGAGGAGAGUGGAACUCCAUGUGUAGCGGUGAAAUGCGUAGAUAUAUGGAAGAACACCAGUGGCGAAGGCGGC